UGGCCCAUGGGGGAUCGAACCUAAUGACCUUCAAGUGCGUUAUUAGCACGACGCUCUAACCAACUGAGCUAAUGGGCC
rnacentral:tRNA from 1 species